rnacentral:tRNA from 1 species
GGAGGGGUUCCCGAGUGGCCAAAGGGAGCAGACUGUAAAUCUGCCGGCGUUCGCCUUCGUUGGUUCGAAUCCAACCCCCUCCA